rnacentral:lncRNA from 1 species
CGAGCACCUAGGUUGGCUCCAUAACUUAGCUAUUGUAAAUGGAGCUGCUAUAAACAUUGAUGUGGCUGUGUCACAUAUUAUAUGCUGAUUUUAAAUCCUUUGGAUAUAUACCAAGGAGUGGGAUAGCUGGGUCAAAUAGUGGUUCCAUUCCUAGUUUCGCAAGGUAUUUCCAUAAUUCUUUCCAGAGUGUUUGCACCAGUUUGCAGUCCCACCAGCAAUGCGUGAGUGUAUUUCCCCCACCACACAUCCUUGCCAACAUGCAUUGUUACUUGUAUUCUUGAUAAUUGCCAUUCUAACUAGAGUGAGAUGAAAUAAGAAAAGAUAGCCUCUUCAACAAAUGGUGCUGGGAAAACUGGAAAUCCAUGUGUAGUAGAAUAAUAUUUAACCCCUAUCUCUCAUCUUUAAUCAACUCAAAGUGGAUCAAAGACCUAGGAAUUAGACCAGAAACCUUGCACAUACUGGGAGAACAUCUAGGCCCAAUAUUACAACAUAUGGGCUUAGAAACUGACUUUCUUAACAAGACUCCUAAAGCGCAAGAAGUAAAAUCGAAAAUCAAUAAAUGGGAUGACAUCAAACUAAAAAGCUUCUUCACAGCAAAGGAAAUAAUCAAGAAUAUGAGGAGCUGGGCUUGGUGUUGCAUGCCUGUGAUCCCAGCAACUGGGGAGGCUGAGGCAAGAGGAUCACCAGUACAAAGCCAGCCUCAGCAACUUAGUGAGGCCCUAAGAAAUUCAGCGACACCCUGUCUCUAAAUAAAAUAUUUUAAAAGGGCUGGAGGUGUGUCUCAGCAGUUUA